UACGUAGGGGGCAAGCGUUGUCCGGAUUUAUUGGGCGUAAAGAGCGUGUAGGCGGCCAGACAAGUCUGCUGUGAAAACUCGAGGCUCAACCUCGAGCUGUCGGUGGAAACUGUCUGGCUAGAGUCCGGAAGAGGAGAGUGGAAUUCCUCGUGUAGCGGUGAAAUGCGCAGAUAUCAGGAAGAACACCUAUGGCGAAGGCAGCUCUCUGGGACGGUACUGACACUGAGACGCGAAAGCGUGGGGAGCGAACAGG
rnacentral:rRNA from 1 species